rnacentral:lncRNA from 1 species
AUUCACUCCUUAGGGUAAUUUGAGUGGUAUCAUCCUGCAUCUCCAUCUACAACACCAUCAAAAUCACGAGCUACUGAACCUUCAAGUACAGGCUCGUCUCCUGGUCUCCUUGAUCUUCUAGGCUGCGGUCAUCGAACCAAGAAACCUUCGGUCCUAUUGAAGAAUUUUCUUACUAAUUCUGCAACUACAAACCCUCCUCA